rnacentral:ncRNA from 1 species
AGUUAAGCAAUGACAGGGAAGAGUACGAUGCAAUUUGCUUUUAGAGAGGGAAAUCAACAGCUGAAAGAUUUCCUAAGCAAAACAUUGGAAGGUCGCCCUUGAGCUUCUUCUGCGAAAGGAUGUCCAUAUCCGAUUAGUGGAAGACGGAUGAAAUCCGUUAUCCGAUGAAGAGCCAGUCGCAUUUUGAUUGGAAAAAAGGUGGUACCGCGAAGCAACUCCAUUCGUCCUUUUA